AGUGAACGCUGGCGGUAUGCCUAACACAUGCAAGUCGAACGGUAGCACACUAAUAUCUUUCUCUUACGGGUUGCGAGUGGCGUACGGGUGAGGAAUACAUCGUAAUCUACUUUUUCGUGUGGGAUAACGUAGGGAAACUUACUCUAAUACCGUAUACGACCUACGGGUGAAAGCAGGUGAUCUUCGUACCUUGCGCGAUUGAUUGAGUCGAUGUCUGAUUAGCUAGUUGGCGGGGUAAAGGCCCACCAAGGCGACGAGGCGUAGCUGGGCUGAGAGGAUGAUAGGCAAAACUGGAACUGAGACACGGUCAAGACGCCUACGGGAGGCAGCAGUGGAGAAGAUUGGACAAUGGGAGAAAGCCUGAAACAGCCAUGCAGCGUGGGUGAAGAAGGCAUUCGGGUUGUAAAGCCCUUUUGUUGGGAAAGAAAAGCAGAAGGUUAAAAACUGGCUGUUCUGACGGUACCCAAAGAAUAAGCACCGGCUAACUUCGUG
rnacentral:rRNA from 1 species